UACGUAGGGGGCAAGGCGUUGUCCGGAUUUAUUGGGCGUAAAGAGCGUGUAGGCGGCCAGGUAGGUCUGUUGUGAAAACUCGAGGCUCAACCUCGAGACGCCGAUGGAAACCAUCUGGCUAGAGUCCGGAAGAGGAGGAAUGGAAUUCCUGGUGUAGCGGUGAAAUGCGCAGAUAUCAGGAAGAACACCCGUGGCGAAGGCGGUCUCUGGGCCGUUACCUGACGCUGAGGAGCGAAGCGUGGGUAGCGAACAGG
rnacentral:rRNA from 1 species